rnacentral:rRNA from 1 species
GACGAACGCUGGCGGCGUGCCUAAUACAUGCAAGUAGAACGCACAGUUUAUACCGUAGCUUGCUACACCAUAGACUGUGAGUUGCGAACGGGUGAGUAACGCGUAGGUAACCUGCCUGGUAGCGGGGGAUAACUAUUGGAAACGAUAGCUAAUACCGCAUAAUAUUGAUUAUUGCAUGAUAAUUGAUUGAAAGAUGCUAUUGCAUCACUACCAGAUGGACCUGCGUUGUAUUAGCUAGUAGGUGAGGUAACGGCUCACCUAGGCGACGAUACAUAGCCGACCUUGGAGGGUGAUCGGCCACACUGGGACGGAGACACGGCCCAGACUGCUACGGGAGGCAGCAGUAGGGAAUCGUCGGCAAUGGACGAAAGUCUGACCGAGCAACGCCGCGUGAGGGAAGGAGGGUUUCGGAUCGUAAAGCUCGGUUGUAAGAGAAGAACGGGUGUGAGAGUGGAAAGUUCACACUGUGACGGUAUCUUACCAGAAAGGGACGGCUAACUACGUG